GGUGCAAUGGUUUAAGCAUCAGACUGUGACUCUGGAGACCAGGGUUCAAAUCCCUGACCA
rnacentral:tRNA from 1 species